CUCUGUCUCAAAACAAAACAAAACAAGUGCUUAUUAAAGCUGAACACUUUCUAAACAUUAUUUUAUUUAAAUAUUGUAAUGGCUUUAUGUGACAGGUAUUAUCAUUAGCCCUAUUUUACAGAUGAGAAAACUGAGGCUUAGAGAAGUAAAAUGUGUCAUGGUCAAGGUCACACAACUAGGAAGUAAAGCUGGUAUUGAAACCUAGGUCAGAAUGGUCUAAACCAAAUUUAAGACAGUAACUAGCUUAAGAAAGCUUCAUGAAAGAAGCCUGGUGGGGGGGCGGUAUCUGCACAGACAAACAGAAGUGUAGGUGAUGGUUUGAGGCAUCACCACCAAGCUGGGAACCGGAGAUAUGGCUGAGAAGGACCCUGAGACCAUGCAGGAUCUCACCUCGGUGGUGCAGAUACUCCUGAAGCAGAUGCAAGAUAAAUUUCAGACCAUGUCUGACCAGAUCAUUGGAAGAACUGAUGAUGUGAGUAGUUGCACUGAUGAUCUGGAGAGAAACAUCAGAGACCUCAUGACACUGGCUGGAGUGGAAGAACUGGAAGGUGAAAACAAGAUACCUGCCACACAAAAGAGUUGAAGUUUGCUAAUACUUUACACUGAAAUCUGGAAUACCAUCUUUCCAAGACAAGAGAAGACUAAAUGGCUUUUUGCAGCUAACUACUAUGUGUAGACAGGUUUUAUAUUAUAAAAUGUCCAUUCUUAUCACAUACUAUAUAGUUUAUAGAGUGAUUUAUCCCCCAGUUUCUUAAACAUGGUUUUUUUCUUUUUC